GCCCUGGUGGUGCAGUGGUUAAAUACUUGUACUGUAGCUACAAGGUUGUGAGUUCAAUACCAGCCAGGGCU